GUUUUUACGUCCAAGGUGCAUUAUCUUGUACUUAUCCACAUUAAAUGUCAGUUGCCACAUCUCUGACCAUUUUUCCUAAAUCAUUUGCCAUUUGGCUUAUCCCUCCUGGAACAUCAACCCUGUUACAUAUCUUAGUAUCAUCAGCAAAAAGACAUACCUUACCAUCAAGACCUUCUUCAAUAUCGCUAAUAAUAAUAUUAAAGAGAAUGGGUCCAAGUAGAGAUCCCUGAGGUACCCCACUGGUAACUAGACCUUGCUUUGAAUAUACUCUGUUGAGAACAACCCUCUGUUGGCUGUCAUUUAGCCACUGCCUAACCCAUUCAACAAUACUGGAAUCCAAACUUAAAGAUUGCAGUUUAUUGAUGAGCCUUCUAUGUGCAACAGUGUCAAAAAAUGAGCAGUAGUGUACAUACAGUCAUGUGGAAAAAAAAAAAGAAGUACACCCUCUUUGAAUUCUAUGGUUUAACAUUUCAGGACAAACCUUUACGGUGCGUUUGGUCUUAAAAUUAAGUGUAAAUACAACUGUGUCAAUAUUCAACAAAAAUAAAGCCACAUGGAGAAGCCAAGUGUGAGAACCUAAAUGCACCCAUAUGCAUUAAGAGGCUAGGUAGCAGACCGGUGCUGCUAAUCACAUGCACUUGAUUAAUUGAUCAUCAGCAAUUGUGACCACCUCUAUAAGAAUUUGCUGAUUUGGAGCAUACGUGUGUGUUAAAAUGAUGCCAAGGACGAAAGACAUCAGCAAUGAUCAUAGAGAAGCAAUUCUUGCUGCUUAUCAAACUUGGAAGGGUUAUAAGGUAAUUUCCAAACAAUUCCAUAAUUCUACUGCAAGAAAGAUUUAAAAGUGGAAAACAUUUUGGAAGUCAGUUGCCAAUCAACCCAGGAGUAGAGUAGUUAAAAAAAAAAAAAAAAAAGUUACAUUUCAGACUCUACAGGCCUCCAUUAGCAUGUUAAAGUUCAUGACUAUACGGUUGGAAAAAGACUUAACAAGUAUGGUUUGUUUGGAAGAGUAUCCAGGAGAAAGCUUCUUCUCUUUGAAAAGAGCAUGGCAGCACGGCUUAGGUUUGCAAACUUGUAUCUGAACAAACCACAAGACUUCUGGAACAAUGUCCUUUGGACCAAACACAGCAUAUCAGCAGAAACACCUCAUACCAACUGUCAAGUACAAUGGUGUAGAGGUGACGCUUUGGCCCUUUUUUGCAGCCACAGGACCAGGGAACUUUGCAAUCAUUGAGUCAACCAUGAACUCCUCUGUAUUCCAAAGUAUUUUAGAAUCCAUCUGAGGCCAUCCAUCUGACCGCUAAAGCUUAGCUGAAAUUUGGUCAUGCAAUUGGACAACGGUUGCAAGCACAACAGCAAAUCUACAACAGAAUGGCUGAAAAAGGAAAUAAUCAAGGUAUUGCAAUUGCCUGGUCAAAGUCGAGACCUCAACCUGACUGAAAUGUUGUGGGAGGACCUUAAGAGAGCUGUGCAUAAACAAAUACCAGAAAACUUCAAUGAAAUGAAAAAUAGUUGUAAAGAGUGCGCUAAAAAUCCUCCACAACAAUUUGAGAUUGAUAGUCAUACAUGAAACGAUUACUUCAAGUUAUUGCUGCUAAAUGUGGUUCUAUGAGCGAUUGAAUCAUAAGAUGUACUUAGUUUUUCCACACAUGGAUUCUUUAAAUUAUGACACUGUGUAAUAUGCCAUUUGUAGUUGUUUAUCUGAUGUUGUAUUUACCUAAUUUUACGACCUGCUAAGGAACCGAUGAUUGUUAGUGUGUUCGGAUAUGUAAAAAUUCAAAGAGUGAUACUUUCUUUUUCUCUUGAUGGUGAACUUGAAAAAGGAAACAUCUCCCCUCCCCUGAUAUAUUUCCAUAAAUUAUUUUUUGGGAGGGGUGAACUAUUCCACUUUUAGAACUUUGCCCCAAUAUAUCCCAUAGUAAAUACACAUGGGGUUUUGGCCAAAUAAAAUGUAUGGCAAUUUUUGGAAUAUGUGGCUUUUCAGCACUAUAACACACAAGUCCAACUCAAAGACAGAUGAUUUAGCAACUCUGUGCAAGAGGUUUGGUACCACACUCAGCAUUACUGUUACCAAGUUCUUCCUUUGUACUGGCAGCGACCCUGAAUCUGUUAGUCAGCUGUGGACCACAAUGACUUCAUGGUUAGUGGUAUGCAGCCCAUUCAGAAACAAUUCCUUGCAUCUCCAUCUUAAGAUAAAAGCAUUAAAGCGGUAACAUAAAAAGAAGAUGGGCAAUAGCUUAUGUUGAUUUAAUAUAUAUAUAUAUUUUUUUUAGUCUGUUCAUAAGAUUAUACACAAAUAUUUCUGCCUAUCCUAGCCUUCCUGGGCACAGUGAAAUUAUGGCACCAUGAGGCAUUUAAAUACAGCAUUUUCUCUUUCCGGCACAAAGGAAUGCUGAUUGGGAACUAAUAAACUCAACUGAGAAGACCUUAAUUUCUAGCAGCACAUACAUCAGAAGAUAUAUAGAGAGAAACUA